rnacentral:rRNA from 1 species
UACGUAGGGGGCGAGCGUUGCCCGGAUUUAUUGGGCGUAAAGGGCGCGUAGGCGGCUCUGUGCGUCAUGGGUGAAAUCUCCCGGCUCAACUGGGAGAGGUCCGGUGAUACGACAGAGCUUGAGCGAGGUAGGGGGCAGUGGAAUUCCCGGUGUAGUGGUGGAAUGCGUAGAGAUCGGGAGGAACACCAGUGGCGAAGGCGGCUGCCUGGACCUCGGCUGACGCUAAGGCGCGAAAGCGUGGGGAGCGAUCCGG